UCCAGCAGCCAUAUCACCCUGCAACUCACAACUGGCAACCCACUGAAGCUAAGCAGGUGUGAGCCUGGUCAGUACCUGGAUGGGAGACCUCCUGGGAAAAACUAAGGUUGCUGAAGGAA
ensembl:rRNA 5S_rRNA 5S ribosomal RNA